CAUGGAGGACAACAGAUGGCAGAAGGAAGAGGAAGACGGCAACAAGUGACGCCGCCGUAUCCAUGGCAAUGCCGUCAUGGUGGCGCCGCCGGAUCAGCGCAGCAAAUUCUCACGAAGAAGCCGGCGCAAAAACAAAUGUACGGCGCCGACAUGGCAUGGACGCCGACAAACGCUGCAAAUUUUCAAUAAAGGAACGGCGCCAACAAAAUGGGCAGCGUAAAGCCCAAAUAGUAGCGCCGGCGUUUGUGUUAUUUGACGCCGAAUAAAACCGGCAAUUGGACGCAGCAGAUGCAGCAGAUGCGCAGCCGACAGACGCCGGCCAAAUUUAUUUGUUAUUCAGCCACUCGUCGGGAAGGUUCCAUGAUAUCCAAAACAUGAGGCAGAGGACGGACGCGCAUCAUGCUGUGCCAACGUGGGAACAUGGACCAACGCUGGACAUCUCCGAUGGACCAACGAGGGACCAACGCGGGACAUCGACGGUGGACCAGAGAGGGACGACAUCGGUGGGUGGCUGCAGGCGCUAGUGCAUGGCCGCCACAGCUGCUGGACCCCGAUGAGGACGCCGAGGGAGGAUGGUCACAGUGAGUAGCGCCAACGUGGGACCGUUCAGUGAAAGCCGGCGCCAUCAUCGCAAACCUAGGCAUGGCGUCGGCUGCGGUGGCUGCCGUCGUGAAAUUGGCCACAAACGACUGGGGCAUGCUGCCGCCGUAAAUGGAUGCGCCUCACAGUGACCACAGCAGCGAUGGAUUAUAAAUUAUUCAGGAACGCCAAAUUCUAGAGAAGGCGCGUCAAGCUGGGCCAUGGCCGGACAAAUGGGAGCC